rnacentral:rRNA from 1 species
GCAAGUGUUAUCCGGAAUCACUGGGCGUAAAGCGUCUGUAGGUGGUCAAAUAAGUCAACUGUUAAAUCUUGAGGCUCAACCUCAAAAUCGCAGUCGAAACUAUUAGACUAGAGUAUAGUAGGGGUAAAGGGAAUUUCCAGUGGAGCGGUGAAAUGCGUAGAUAUUGGAAAGAACACCGAUGGCGAAGGCACUUUACUGGGCUAUUACUAACACUCAGAGACGGAAGCUAGGGUAGCAAACAGG